UUUUUGUUUUUCACUCUUUAAGCACUGCUGUUUGUUUAUUCACUUUUCAUGCCCUGUAAUGUGAAAUACAUAGUUUGUUAAAUUGAUUCAGCUGUUUCUAUUCACAUUUUGUCUUGUUAUUGUCUGAUUUAUUAUUAUUAUUAUUUUGUUAUAUUGAGCCAUCUAAACAAAUUUCCUCGGUUCAUGUGUUGCAGCUUAGGGGAAGUACUUUUUUUUUCCAGUUUCUUUCUCUAUUUAUGGUAUUUUAGGAGAGAUUUUCAGAUAUAUAAUGGAUGGGUGUCCACACAGAUGGAUCUUUGUAACAUAUUGUAAGACGUCAUGAAUAGACCAGACCGGAUAGGUUUGACACAUAGGUAUAAUUAAGCCAUUUCCCAUCUAUCCUUUUCUUCUUUGUGUGCCGUUUGCCUGGCCAAUUGGACCACAAAUUAUCUAAUAGCAGUUGUUCAUUAAAGUUGUUUGCUCUUUGUAAGAAUGAGAAACCGGAAGAUGAAGUACUUCUGGGCAUCAAUUUAUAUAAUCUAACAUUUCACAAUCUCAAGUUUAGAGAAAAAUAGAGUAAGAACAACAGUUAACUGAGUUUACCUUAAAAAA
rnacentral:misc_RNA from 1 species